rnacentral:lncRNA from 1 species
CGCUGGGGCCGCUAGGCGCCGGCUCUCGGCCCCCGCCGAGGGGUAGGGCUGGAGAUGGGGCUGGGCCCCAGGCGUGUCUCGGGGAGCCGGGAAGCCCCCGCCGGACGCCCGCCAGCUCUUCCACGGGGUCACCGCCCCGCCCCCAUCUGCGCAGUGGCGACGUGGGGGGAGCGACACAAGUACCCCCCAUCGAGGCAGAGAGCCCUCGGUCGCGGCGCCUAGCGGGAAGCCUGCGGAGACCUCCUUGCCGGGGAGGCUGGGCUACAGCCCUACGACUAGUUCAGCCUGGCGGGAUGCGGUGGAGGUGGCAGAGCGCUCUCAGAGCUCCUAGAGACACUGCCUUUUCCCCGCCGCAUUUGGAGUCAUGUGAAAGGAAGCUUUGUAAGCCGCGUCUGCCUGUCCAAGUGGAACUUGCCCCCCGUUGUCUCCCCGAGACCGUGCCUGUCCUCAACUGGAGUCCUGCCCCCUCUGUGUCCCCUGCAUGGACCCCCAGAUGGGGCUGCUUUGCCCUCUGCAGUUUGGAGCUUAAUUCCAGGGCUACACGGAGUCUCCAGGUUCCGGAGCUGGGAGGAUCGGGACCGAGAUGCACGCUGUCGGGUAUGGCCGCUUUCUCGCCCGGUCCGCACAUCGGAGACCGAGAGAACCCGCCCUUCCGUGUGUUCCCUGAGAGCACAGAUCCCCACAGGAGGACCGCAGCCUUAGGGCUGCAUCCCAGAGGCUCCAUCACUGCACACCGUGAUUCACACCAGUGUUCACAGGAAGGACUGGGGCUCCAGCAUAGGAAUUGGGGGCUGUGUAACGGCUAGUCCGUAAUGAGUGUCCUCUCUUCCUGUCCCGGAAUGCCAUGCCCCAUCUCCUCUGGUCUCUCCUGUUCUCUACUCUUUUCUCUCUUUUUGUAAGGAAACACCAGCUCUUUUUCACUGGAGCCAGCUGAUUUCGUUGGCUUGACUCAGCACAACCCCAGUCAGAGCCUGGGAGAAAAUCCAGUCCACGGAGGAGCUGGGGUUCUUGGUGGACCCCAGCCUGGGGAUUGACUUAAACGCCCUUCCACAGAGCUGGCUUUGGAGGGGAGGGCUUAAGAAAAGCUCAUUAGGAAAACCAGGUUUUUAAAAUAAAUCACCUGCAUCAGUCUCCCCAGACACGUGAGACUCUGAGGGCUCCCAGGACAGUCACAGAAGCUGAGUAGGAAGGAGUUUUGGGCGUGGGACCCAGGGUCUCAGAGGUGAGGAAGGAAGAGA